CGUGACGAGCAAAGUGCUUCUGAACGUUGGGCAGGAAGUUAUUGCUGUGGUUGAAGAAAACAAAGUGUCAAAUGGACUGAAAGCAAUCAGAGUAGAAGCUGUGUCUGACAAAUGGGAAGAUGAUAACAGAAACUCUAGCAAAGGCCUGUCGGACUCCAGCCCCAGAGUGCUGAUUGGCUGUGUGACGUCCAUGUUGGAAGGUGCUGGCUAUAUCAGCCAGACCACAUACUUCUCUCUGGAGAGUGUGUGUGAAGGUUUUCACCCGUGCAAGGGAGACUGGGUAGAGGCUGAAUAUUGGAUCAGGCCAGGGACAUGGAGCAGUGAGGCCAUCUCUGUGAAGCCUCUGAGGUACAAGCGUGUGGACAAGGUUUGCAUUUCCAGCCUGUGUGGGAGGAAUGGGGUGAUAGAGGACAGCAUCUUCUUCAGCCUGGACUCCUUGAAGCUGCCAGAAGGGUACACCCCGAGGAGACAUGACAUCGUCAAUGCUGUGGUUGUGGAGAGCAGCCAGUCAUGCUACAUCUGGAGAGCACUGUGCAUGACCCCCGUGAAGAGGUGGUAAUCCAGCAGUUCUUCUUCGGAAAUAAACGGGCCAACCUUAAUCAU
rnacentral:lncRNA from 1 species